CGAAGGUGGCAAGCGUUGUUCGGAUUUACUGGGCGUACAGGGAGCGUAGGCGGUUCGGUAAGCCCUCUGUGAAAUCUCCAGGCUUAACCUGGAACAGUCGGAGGGGACUGCCGGGCUAGAGGACGGGAGAGGAGCGCGGAAUUCCCGGUGUAGCGGUGAAAUGCGUAGAGAUCGGGAGGAAGGCCGGUGGCGAAGGCGGCGCUCUGGAACGUUUCUGACGCUGAGGCUCGAAAGCGUGGGGAGCAAACAGGAUUAGAUACCCUGGUAGUCCACGCCUUAAACUAUGAAUACUAAGUGUCGGCGGGUUACCGCCGGUGCCGCAGCUAACGCAUUAAGUAUUCCGCCUGGGAAGUACGGCCGCAAGGUUG
rnacentral:rRNA from 1 species